rnacentral:rRNA from 1 species
AUUUAAGGUCUAAUCUGCCCAUUGAAAAGUUAAAAGGCCGCAGUAAGUUGACUGUGCAAAGGUAGCAUAAUCAAUAGUUUUUUAAUUAAAAGCUUGUAUGAAUGAUUGGACGAAAUAAAAUCUGUCUCUUUAUAAAAUUUAGAAUUUAAUUUUUAAGUUAAAAAGCUUAAAUAUAAAUAAAAGACGAGAAGACCCUAUAGAUUUUUAUUUAAUAUUUAUAAAAAAUAUUAAGAUUUUUUAAUUUUAUAUAUGUUUUUAAAUUUGAUUGGGGUAAUAUAUAGAUUUAAAUAAUUCUUUAUUAAAAAAACAAAAAUUAUUGAUUUUUUGAUCCAUAAUAAUGAUUAUAAGAUUAAAUUACCUUAGGGAUAACAGCGUAAUUUUUUUUGAGAGUUCUUAUUGAUAAAAAAGUUUGCGACCUCGAUGUUGGAUUAAAAUUAGUUCUAAAUGCAGAAGUUUAGAUAUUUGGUCUGUUCGACCAUUAAAUUUUU